UGCGUAGGCGGCCUAUUAAGCCAGUGGGGAAAGGUAUCAGCUUAACUGAUGACGUGCCAUUGGAACUGAUGGGCUUGAGUACAGACGAGGUAGGCGGAAUUUAUGGUGUAGCGGUGAAAUGCAUAGAUACCAUAAAGAACACCAAUUGCGAAGGCAGCUUACUAGACUGAGACUGACGCUGAGGCACGAAAGCGUGGGGAGCGAACAGGAUUAGAUACCCUGGUAGUCC
rnacentral:rRNA from 1 species